CUCUGCAUAUUCGGUCCCCACCGCCUCCAGGCCCCUCGGAGGCCCAGCAGCAGGUGGCCAUCAAGCCUAGAGGUCCAAAGCCCUACCUGAUCCCUUCCGUCUCUUCUGCCAGACCCUUCCCUUGGGUCAGAUCAGUACCUUGGGCCCCUAGCUACACUCAGGCCCAGGGUAAUCUUGCCUAGGCUCCUAAUUUUAAAUGCCAUUUGUAUCCCAUGACUCCCAGUACUAAGUCACCAGCACUCCAGGUUCCUGAUCUCCACUUGGGUAACCACUGAUCUGAAAUGUAACAUGUCUGGAUGGGCGUGGUGUGGUGGCCUAACUGCCUGCACCUCUUGACUCCCCACUUAGCC
rnacentral:lncRNA from 1 species